UAUAAGUACCUGACAAGUAUCCGCGAACUACCUGUAUCUCCCUGUUUCGGCUUAAACCACGAACGAGCUCGGUAAGAUGGCGGUAGAAGGUUGUUCCAGAUCUUACUUGCCAGGUAUCUGAAGCUACCUCUGAAUGCAGAAGAAUGAUGACGUGGAGUAUCAAGCAAAUAUGCGGAGCCUCUGGUAAUAGCCUGUCUCUCACUAGCCCAGUGCAGUUUCUCAAAG